ACAGAUAAACAAGCAUUAUUUGGACACAGUAAAACAAACCCAGCUGCUUCAGGUGAAGAGUAUAUACAGUAUACUUUUCAGGUGCUAUUAGAGAAUACUUUGAAAUAACGAUUAGUGCAGUACAAGAUCAUAGUAGUAGGAGAAAAGCAAGCACAAAGGACUCUCCCUACUUUGUUUUUACAUUUGCAGGUGUGAAAUCCAAACCAGGAAUGCCCAGAGCCAGGAAUGAAACUGGUGACAGAACCAGGAAUACAACACUGACUCCUCGAACUGCUAGCUCUUAACUUUCUAUUACAAAAAACCAUGGCUCUUCAAGUCAAAAUAUUGAGAUGCAACUUAAAAUUUUACUUUAGGGAAUGUGCUGAAGGUCACACAGCCAAAGGGCUGUUUGUACAUCAGGCAUGUUAAUCCUUCUCACUUCUUCUUCUCUUUCAGACUGUGCAUCCCCAGCAAACCACAAGCAGCUGCUUCUCAGCCCAGCAGCACUGUUUCAGCCAUCUCUUGUAGCUCUAGGAAGCCAUCCUGUAGAAGAAGAUGAAACGCCUCUUCCCUGAGCAUUGAGCCCCACGCAGGCAGAAAAGCCAGCAGCAAACAGCACGGUUUGAGAGAGGCAAUCCGAGAUGUCUGGGCUCUUGCAACGGCCUGGAAAUCUGCAUGGCACCAUGCUUUACUGCCCUCACAAGUACAGACUCCGGCCUGUUGUGAAUAAACAUCCCUUUGCAACAGAAGAGAAAGAAGUUUGAUGCCCAUCAGCUAGGACCAUCAAAACACACCGAAAUGCAGGUAAGCACAGACUUUAUCCUAAAUGUACAACUGUUAUUUUUUAACCAGAGGCUAUAUUUAUUAUACCUGCACGUUUAUUAAAGCUUUUAUAUAGCUAACAUACUAAUUCAGAUUCUUAAUUUUGAUACUUAACUCUGUAAGAAAGUGAUGGGUGACACAUUUCUUAUUUACUAAACAACUCAUUUGGGGCCAAACAGUGUUUAGUCAAAAACUGAAACUCAAUUAAACCAUCAGUAUUGUUAUGUUUUCACAUAGUUUAAUAAAACUAUGUGACAUAUUUGGGAUAUGUUAAAAAAAAAUAAAAAGCUAGUUCAUCCAAACAUACUUUGUACUUAAAACUACAUCUUUUCUUAGAGAAUGAAAGGAUUAUUUGUAUUUCCUGAAUGAAAGGGACUGUGGGGACUGGCAACAACUCUGGGGACUCUACAAGUGCUGGAUGUCACCCGCUUACACCUCGCUUUGUUUAUGUAUUGGAAGAUAAGAAACUUUGCUGUUUCCCAUCUCCCAGAUUGCCUGCCAGUGUUGAACGCACUGUCACCGAAUUGAGCUACCUGGGUAUAUGGAAAAACUCCUGCUAUCAAAAGCUGAUUUAACUUGUUGGUAAAUUCCACUUCCAGGUACUCAGGCAGUGAUCUGCACCACAUUCAGUGGUUUUACUAAGGCUUCAGCAGCAAUCUAAUUGCACGUUAAUAUUCUUUUAAUUUAAUCUAAGCAGUAAGUUUGGGUAUUAACAGAGCAUAAUGAUUUGAAAUUUAAGAGUUAAUUUUAAAAAUAAAUUUGUACUUAAAUAUAGAUCACUUUUAAUUUAAAUAUAAUUUAUUCACUCUGCUAUAUAUUUGAAUGUUUGCUACGUCUCCACCGUGAUUUGCCCUGAAAGGCCACAGAACACACACACGUACAAGUACUGUACAAUGACUUUGAGACAUACAUGGCCUCCAUUUUAAAGCAAUUAUCCUGACUGUUUGCCCUCACUGUUUCUGUUGCAAGACUCUAACAGAAUCUCAUUUCCCCACACCUUCUAAUUCACGGUCAGAUUAUCCUUCUUUGCUGGACACCUCUCUCCUUUCCUAGCAUAUUUAUUGAGAAUAAUCUAGCCAUCUCAGCCUUCUUUCCUUGCUAAGCCAUACAAGAAUAGCUUUUUUCCUCUCUUUUCCAAAGGAGGACCAUCCUCCCACCCUUCAUUUUUUCAGUGGCUUUACCUCACUAACUGCUCUUCUCCGCACCUCCUCAAGUUUACAGUCAUCCAUCUUUUAGAUGGAUGACUGAACUGCACACCAGAUAAGGGCUGAACAAUUCCUUGUACAACGGGCAUUAAUCUCACGCCAGAAUAUGCUUUAAUUAAUUCCCCAAGCUCCUCUGAUGGAGGUGAGUGUUCCUGUUUUAUAUGUGAGGAAAAUCUGAGACGUGGUGAGGCUGAUCUGACUUGCCAAAGUGAGAAAGACGGCAGGAAAUGGGGCAACACAACGAACACUCAUGAGCGUAGCUCCAGCUGCCCGCUCUGCCCCAAAGCACACCGUCCUGUGGCUUACACUGAACCAAGGCGGUGUCAGUCUGCUGAGACAGAGAGAAGAGGCUUCAAAGACCAGCCACGUAUUCAUGUGAAGCUUUUGCAGAAUAAAAUCUGUGAAGAAUGGGAAUUUUUUUGGCUGAUUUUCUUCUGCUUUUGAAAGUUUGAUUCCUCGUUUCUCCUGGGUGUGCUGUCAGGUGCUGUAGCAUGCCAAACACUGUACAAUUAUUUCAAGAAGGCAAAGUAUCACUAAGCCACAGUUCAAGAAAUUUAGCAUUACACUGAUGAAUUACUGCAUUUACUUUGGAAGUUGUAUUUCAAUUGCUUUACUACAGUCGUAUUUGAAAGGGCUGGAAUGUUUUUCUUUAAUAUAGGCACCUUGUACGGUGGGUGUGAGGAAGUAUCUGUUAAGGUCUGUUUCCUAUUGACAAAACUGUUUGCUGUUAGCAGUGGCACGAUAUUGGGAGUACGGGUUAGCAAGGCUGAAGGAGACAAAGCUUGGAAAAUGCUAACCACUGAGUCACGGCUUGGCCUUCCCCCAGCUCUGACUUGCCUCCUCCAUUCCCGGCAUCAGGUCCCCCCCUUAAGCUGAGGCAACCUACUACUGGUCCUAAAAGUGAACUAGGACUGCGAGCCAGAACUCAGUCCUUGACGUUUAACCAAAAAUAUGUCGAUGCCACCGUCACAAUUAAAUGAUCAAGUUGACUCCACUUGCUGGAGAUCAGCUGCAUGACACUCACUUAAUAGGAAAGUCUUCAAAUUAAUUCGGUGAGGUCAGACUCUUCGCAGAGCCAAAGCAAAGCUCUUGGCAAGGGACAUUACCUAUCACAGUGCUUUGUCACAAAGGGGAUGUGUAAGGGACAGUGGAGUCCUCUGCCACGCGGCAAGGACAGAAAUGAAGGGGCACCAGGCUGCAAUCACAGAAGACAGCAGAGCAGAGCAAAUGCAACACGUAUAGCAUUUUAAAGCAGAGGGCAAAUUUAGUGCAGGAGAAUAUUAGGUCAGCUGUGGCCAGAAAAGGCAGAAACUGUGUAUGUUUCUUCCAUGCUGGUUCUCCAUUUGACCUGUACUUUGACCAAACCCUGCUCCGUUAUAUGGAGAAAAGUCCGUAUCUCUUUAUACUUUUCGUUUUGCAACCAACACCUGACCUAGCAAAGGCCAGCUGCUCACUCCUUGCCCAGCUGAGCUCCCAGCCGAGCACUGUUCAAUGCGUCCCCUUCGCCAGACACCGAUCCAUCCCCACCCUUCCCCACACGGCCCCGGGUCAUUGUGCUGGAAGCUGCUAAGGGACUGAAGUCAGAGCCAGGGCAUCUGUCCUCCAAACACGGGUACACCAGCAGCCCUGGUGACCCAGACGUGCAGCACGGCCCAGCCCCCAGAUGCACAGCAAGGCCACA